AUUGAACGCUGGCGGCAUGCUUUACACAUGCAAGUCGAACGGUAACAGGUUAAGCUGACGAGUGGCGAACGGGUGAGUAAUGCAUCGGAACGUGCCCGAUCGUGGGGGAUAACGCAGCGAAAGCUGCGCUAAUACCGCAUACGAUCUGAGGAUGAAAGCGGGGGACCGUAAGGCCUCGCGCGAUCGGAGCGGCCGAUGUCAGAUUAGGUAGUUGGUGGGGUAAAGGCUCACCAUGCCGACGAUCUGUAGCUGGUCUGAGAGGACGACCAGCCACACUGGGACUGAGACACGGCCCAGACUCCUACGGGAGGCAGCAGUGGGGAAUUUUGGACAAUGGGCGAAAGCCUGAUCCAGCAAUGCCGCGUGCAGGAAGAAGGCCUUCGGGUUGUAAACUGCUUUUGUACGGAGCGAAAAGGCUCUCUCUAAUACAGGGGGCUCAUGACGGUACCGUAAGAAUAAGCACCGGCUAACUACGUGCCAGCCGCCGCGGUAAUAC
rnacentral:rRNA from 1 species